GGUGGAGCCAAACUUAACUUUAUCAACUUACUUGGCCCAUGUCUUCAGCAUUAUGAGGGGACUGGACAGCAGACACUGGCUAUAAGACUUCAACUUCUUAAUAACCUGGAAGAUUCGUUAUAACAAGUACAUAAUGAACACGGAUAUCUUCCCCAUUCCACAACUGCACCAAACUCCUGCAGCCACCAGCAAGUUAUGAAGAAUGGGCAUGCAGACAAAGAAACAAGUCACAAGGGUCAUCAUCUCCAAAAACUGGGCUAAAACCUUACUGAUUACACCAAGGAAGCAGGUGGAACAUGCUCACCUUCCCUUCAAGCAGGAACCUGGCAAAGUAUUUGUAACGAUCAAUACCUUCUGGGUAAUCAACUUCCACAGCAGGGAGCUCCCAGCUAACUCG